rnacentral:rRNA from 1 species
UGGGGAAUUUUGGACAAUGGGCGAAAGCCUGAUCCAGCAAUGCCGCGUGUGUGAAGAAGGCCUUCGGGUUGUAAAGCACUUUUGUCCGGAAAGAAAUCCUUGGCUCUAAUACAGUCGGGGGAUGACGGUACCGGAAGAAUAAGCACCGGCUAACUACGUGCCAGCAGCCGCGGUAAUACGUAGGGUGCAAGCGUUAAUCGGAAUUACUGGGCGUAAAGCGUGCGCAGGCGGUUUGCUAAGACCGAUGUGAAAUCCCCGGGCUCAACCUGGGAACUGCUUUGGUGACUGGCAGGCUAGAGUAUGGCAGAGGGGGGUAGAAUUCCACGUGUAGCAGUGAAAUGCGUAGAGAUGUGGAGGAAUACCGAUGGCGAAGGCAGCCCCCUGGGCCAAUACUGACGCUCAUGCACGAAAGCGUGGGGAGCAAACAGGAUUAGAUACCCUGGUAGUCCACGCCCUAAACGAUGUCAACUAGUUGUUGGGGAUUCAUUUCCUUAGUAACGUAGCUAACGCGUGAAGUUGACCGCCUGGGGAGUACGGUCGCAAGAUUAAAACUCAAAGGAAUUGACCGGGGU